GACGAACGCUGGCGGCGUGCUUAACACAUGCAAGUCGAACGGAAAGGCCCUGCUUUUGUGGGGUGCUCGAGUGGCGAACGGGUGAGUAACACGUGAGUAACCUGCCCUUGACGUUGGGAUAACUUCAGGAAACUGGGGCUAAUACCGGAUAGGAGCUCCUGCUGCAUGGUGGGGGUUGGAAAGUUUCGGCGGUUGGGGAUGGACUCGCGGCUUAUCAGCUUGUUGGGGGGGUAGUGGCUUACCAAGGCUUUGACGGGUAGCCGGCCUGAGAGGGUGACCGGCCCCAAUGGGACUGAGAUACGGCCCAGACGCCUACGGGAGGCAGCAGUGGGGAAUAUGGCACAAUGGGCGGAAGCCUGAUGCAGCAACGCCGCGUGCGGGAUGACGUCUUUCGGGGUGUAAACCGCUUGCGCCUGUGACGAAGCGGGAGUGACGGUAAUGGGUAAAGAAGCACCGGCUAACUACGUG
rnacentral:rRNA from 1 species